rnacentral:lncRNA from 1 species
ACUCCCUUUCAAUCAAGGAUCUUAUGCUUUUCCGGUGAACAAGGCUGCGUAGCCUAUGCUUUGCAAGCCUAUCACGCUCGACUGUCUUAAGCAGACAGUUUAUUCAUAAGGAAGAAUUGUCACACCCCAGAGAAGUCGAUCCUUUUGAUUAGGACAGAAUGAAUACAACUAAGUAAGAUAUGUAGACAGCCUUGACUUGAAAUAAGAGUUAGUCCUGCUGGUAAACACGUUACACUUAUUACUUCAGACCCUUAGUGGAAAGGAGCAAGGAGAGCAGCAGGUAAUUUAUUAAGGAAGCAAGAACUCUUAGGCAAGGAGGGGCGUAGCGCUUAUCGUUUAAAAGGGGAUUUUUCUUUCUCUAGAUUUUUGUCUUUCGAGAUUGGAAGUUAAUGGCAU